rnacentral:piRNA from 1 species
UAAGCUGGCUGUCCAACCCGUAGUGCC